rnacentral:rRNA from 1 species
UUAAGCGACUAAGCGUACACGGUGGAUGCCCUGGCAGUCAGAGGCGAUGAAGGACGUGCUAAUCUGCGAAAAGCGUCGGUAAGGUGAUAUGAACCGUUAUAACCGGCGAUGUCCGAAUGGGGAAACCCAGUGCAAUUCGUUGCACUAUCGUUAACUGAAUACAUAGGUUAACGAGGCGAACCGGGGGAACUGAAACAUCUAAGUACCCCGAGGAAAAGAAAUCAACCGAGAUUCCCCCAGUAGCGGCGAGCGAACGGGGAGCAGCCCAGAGUCUGAAUCAGCUUGUGUGUUAGUGGAACGGUCUGGAAAGUCUGACGGUACAGGGUGAUAGUCCCGUACACCAAAAUGCACAGGCUGUGAACUCGAAGAGUAGGGCGGGACACGUGGUAUCCUGUCUGAAUAUGGGGGACCAUCCUCCAAGGCUAAAUACUCCUGACUGACCGAUAGUGAACCAGUACCGUGAGGGAAAGGCGAAAAGAACCCCGGCGAGGGGAGUGAAAAAGAACCUGAAACCGUGUACGUACAAGCAGUGGGAGCACCUUCGGGUGUGACUGCGUACCUUUUGUAUAAUGGGUCAGCGACUUAUAUUCUGUAGCAAGGUUAACCGUAUAGGGGAGCCGCAGGGAAACCGAGUCUUAACUGGGCGUUAAGUUGCAGGGUAUAGACCCGAAACCCGGUGAUCUAGCCAUGGGCAGGUUGAAGGUUGGGUAACACUAACUGGAGGACCGAACCGACUAAUGUUGAAAAAUUAGCGGAUGACUUGUGGCUGGGGGUGAAAGGCCAAUCAAACCGGGAGAUAGCUGGUUCUCCCCGAAAGCUAUUUAGGUAGCGCCUCGUGAAUUCAUCUUCGGGGGUAGAGCACUGUUUCGGCUAGGGGGUCAUCCCGACUUACCAACCCGAUGCAAACUACGAAUACCGAAGAAUGUUAUCACGGGAGACACACGGCGGGUGCUAACGUCCGUCGUGAAGAGGGAAACAACCCAGACCGCCAGCUAAGGUCCCAAAGUCAUGGUUAAGUGGGAAACGAUGUGGGAAGGCACAGACAGCCAGGAUGUUGGCUUAGAAGCAGCCAUCAUUUAAAGAAAGCGUAAUAGCUCACUGGUCGAGUCGGCCUGCGCGGAAGAUGUAACGGGGCUAAACCAUGCACCGAAGCUGCGGCAGCGACACUAUGUGUUGUUGGGUAGGGGAGCGUUCUGUAAGCCUGCGAAGGUGACCUGUGAGGGUUGCUGGAGGUAUCAGAAGUGCGAAUGCUGACAUAAGUAACGAUAAAGCGGGUGAAAAGCCCGCUCGCCGGAAGACCAAGGGUUCCUGUCCAACGUUAAUCGGGGCAGGGUGAGUCGACCCCUAAGGCGAGGCCGAAAGGCGUAGUCGAUGGGAAACAGGUUAAUAUUCCUGUACUUGGUGUUACUGCGAAGGGGGGACGGAGAAGGCUAUGUUAGCCGGGCGACGGUUGUCCCGGUUUAAGCAUGUAGGCUGGUUAUCCAGGCAAAUCCGGAUAAUCAAGGCUGAGGUGUGAUGACGAGGCACUACGGUGCUGAAGUAACAAAUGCCCUGCUUCCAGGAAAAGCCUCUAAGCAUCAGGUAACAUCAAAUCGUACCCCAAACCGACACAGGUGGUCAGGUAGAGAAUACCAAGGCGCUUGAGAGAACUCGGGUGAAGGAACUAGGCAAAAUGGUGCCGUAACUUCGGGAGAAGGCACGCUGGUGUGUAGGUGAAGCCCCUGCGGGUGGAGCCGAGACCAGUCGAAGAUACCAGCUGGCUGCAACUGUUUAUUAAAAACACAGCACUGUGCAAACACGAAAGUGGACGUAUACGGUGUGACGCCUGCCCGGUGCCGGAAGGUUAAUUGAUGGGGUUAUCCGUAAGGAGAAGCUCUUGAUCGAAGCCCCGGUAAACGGCGGCCGUAACUAUAACGGUCCUAAGGUAGCGAAAUUCCUUGUCGGGUAAGUUCCGACCUGCACGAAUGGCGUAAUGAUGGCCAGGCUGUCUCCACCCGAGACUCAGUGAAAUUGAACUCGCUGUGAAGAUGCAGUGUACCCGCGGCAAGACGGAAAGACCCCGUGAACCUUUACUAUAGCUUGACACUGAACAUUGAGCCUUGAUGUGUAGGAUAGGUGGGAGGCUUUGAAGCGUGGACGCCAGUCUGCGUGGAGCCAACCUUGAAAUACCACCCUUUAAUGUUUGAUGUUCUAACGUUGGCCCCUGACCGGGGUUGCGGACAGUGUCUGGUGGGUAGUUUGACUGGGGCGGUCUCCUCCCAAAGCGUAACGGAGGAGCACGAAGGUUAGCUAAUCCUGGUCGGACAUCAGGAGGUUAGUGCAAUGGCAUAAGCUAGCUUGACUGCGAGCGUGACGGCGCGAGCAGGUGCGAAAGCAGGUCAUAGUGAUCCGGUGGUUCUGAAUGGAAGGGCCAUCGCUCAACGGAUAAAAGGUACUCCGGGGAUAACAGGCUGAUACCGCCCAAGAGUUCAUAUCGACGGCGGUGUUUGGCACCUCGAUGUCGGCUCAUCACAUCCUGGGGCUGAAGUAGGUCCCAAGGGUAUGGCUGUUCGCCAUUUAAAGUGGUACGCGAGCUGGGUUUAGAACGUCGUGAGACAGUUCGGUCCCUAUCUGCCGUGGGCGCUGGAGAAUUGAGGGGGGCUGCUCCUAGUACGAGAGGACCGGAGUGGACGCAUCACUGGUGUUCGGGUUGUCAUGCCAAUGGCACUGCCCGGUAGCUAAAUGCGGAAGAGAUAAGUGCUGAAAGCAUCUAAGCACGAAACUUGCCCCGAGAUGAGUUCUCCCUGAGACUAUAAGUCUCCUGAAGGAACGUUAAAGACGAUGACGUUGAUAGGCCGGGUGUGUAAGCGCAGCGAUGCGUUGAGCUAACCGGUACUAAUGAACCGUGAGGCUUAACCUU